GGUUUGGUGGUCUAGUAGUAUGAUUCACCCUUAGGGCUCUCGCAGUACUUGGGUGAGGUCCCGGGUUCAAUUCCCGGCCAGACCC
rnacentral:tRNA from 1 species